rnacentral:sRNA from 1 species
AUUUAAUAAAAAAUCCAUCUGGUAUGUGUACCAGAAAAACACAGGAGUUAGAUGGAUUUUUUAUUAAAUCAGGCCUUAAACUUGUUAAAUAGUUUUGCAUUUUUAUAAAUUAUAGUCAUGGUUAUAACAUUUCAGUAGCACCACAAAAGUGCUUGGUUUAGGAAUUUUUUUUUUUAAACUGAGAUAGUGUGUAAAUUUCUAGAUGGCUGUAAUAACAUGCAGGCUCUAAGUUACUGAUUUUAUGUAUCAAUAUUUGCAGCUUUCUAAUUAGUUGUGAUUUAUAAUUUAACGUUUUACUUUUGGAAAAUAAGUGACAUUUAGAAAAUUAAAUAUUACUAUGAGGCUGUAUUGUGGUUUCCUACCCUCCCUCACCUUUCCAUCCCCUCCCACUUCCCUACUCCCACUGCCCCACACCCUCUUAAUGCACAAGCAUUAACAUAUGCUCCAGGUUACUUUUUUGGUAUUAAAUUCGGUGUUAGUCAGCAGAAUAAUCAUUUUCUGCACAAUUAUAGUAACUUAGGUCAAGUGUAGUUUUAUAUAGUGGUAGGUCUGAAUCCAUUUUCUUUAACUGUGUUGUUGUUGUAGGAAUUUGCUCGCCCUGAUACAUCGAAUGAUAGAGUUUGUUGUACGUGAAGGGCCAAUGUUUGAAGCUAUGAUUAUGAACAGAGAAAUCAACAAUCCUAUGUUCAGGUUCUUAUUUGAAAACCAGACACCAGCCCAUGUUUACUAUAGGUGGAAGCUUUAUUCUAUUCUGCAGGCAAGUAGAAUCAAUUACUUUGUUAAUUUUGACUCUGAGUAAUUAGACCUUUAUAAUAACUCUAAAUGUUUGUUAGGGAGAUUCUCCAACUAAAUGGCGGACGGAAGAUUUUCGUAUGUUCAAAAAUGGAUCUUUUUGGAGGCCACCACCAUUAAAUCCGUACUUGCAUGGAAUGUCAGAAGAGCAAGAAACAGAAGCUUUUGUAGAGGAACCUAGUAAAAAGGGAGCACUUAAGGAAGAACAGAGGGAUAAAUUGGAAGAAAUCUUGCGGGGAUUAACUCCAAGGAAAAAUGAUAUUGGAGAUGCAAUGGUUUUCUGUCUUAAUAAUGCUGAAGCUGCUGAAGAAAUAGUGGAUUGCAUUACUGAGUCGUUGUCCAUCUUAAAGACACCCCUUCCUAAAAAGAUUGCCAGAUUAUAUUUGGUUUCUGAUGUUUUGUACAACUCUUCAGCCAAAGUUGCUAAUGCUUCAUAUUAUAGAAAAUUUUUUGAAACAAAGUUA